rnacentral:rRNA from 1 species
GAUGAACGCUGGCGGCGUGCCUAAUACAUGCAAGUCGAGCGAACAGACCAGGAGUUUGCUCCUCUGACGUUAGCGGCGGACGGGUGAGGAACACGUGGAUAACCUACCUACUAGACUGGGAUAACUUCGGGAAACCGGAGCUAAUACCGGAUAAUAUAUUGAACCGCAUGGUGCAAUAGUGAAAGACGGUUUUGCUUUUAGUUAUAGAUGGAUCCGCGCCGCAUUAGCUAGUUGGUAAGGUAACGGCUUACCAAGGCAACGAUGCGUAGCCGACCUGAGAGGGUGAUCGGCCACACUGGAACUGAGACACGGUCCAGACUCCUACGGGAGGCAGCAGUAGGGAAUCUUCCGCAAUGGGCGAAAGCCUGACGGAGCAACGCCGCGUGAGUGAUGAAGGUCUUCGGAUCGUAAAACUCUGUUAUUAGGGAAGAACAAAUGUGUAAGUAACUAUGCACGUCUUGACGGUACCUAAUCAGAAAGCCACGGCUAACUACGUG